rnacentral:rRNA from 1 species
UAUUAUUUAAAGUGUAAAUAAAAUGCUUAAGUAGUAAUAGUUAUGUUCUUGAAACUUAAAAAAUUUGGCGGUAUUUUAGUCUAUCCAGAGGAACCUGUUUUGUAAUCGAUAAUCCACGAUGGACCUUACUUAAAUUUGUAAUCAGUUUAUAUACCGUCGUUAUCAGAAUAUUUUAUAAGAAUAUUAAUAUUCAAUAAUUUUUAUUUAAAUUUAUAUCAGAUCAAGGUGUAGCUUAUAUUUAAGUAAUAAUGGGUUACAAUAAAAGUAUUUAAACGGAUAAAAUUAUGAAAAAAUUUUUAAAGGUGGAUUUGGUAGUAAAAUUAUAAAGAUUAAUAAUUUGAUUUUAGCUCUAAAAUAUGUACACAUCGCCCGUCGCUCUUAUUACUAAGGUAAGAUAAGUCGUAACAUAGUAGAUGUACUGGAAAGUGUAUCUAGAAUGA